UACAGAGGUGGCAAGCGUUGUUCGGAAUUACUGGGCGUAAAGGGCGCGUAGGCGGCCUUCUAAGUCAGACGUGAAAUCCCCCGGCUUAACCUGGGAACUGCGUCUGAUACUGGAGGGCUUGAGUAUGGGAGAGGGAUGUAGAAUUCCAGGUGUAGCGGUGAAAUGCGUAGAUAUCUGGAGGAAUACCGGUGGCGAAGGCGGCAUCCUGGACCAUUACUGACGCUGAGGCGCGAAAGCGUGGGGAGCGAACGGG
rnacentral:rRNA from 1 species